AUUGAACGCUGGCGGCAUGCCUUACAUAUGCAAGUCGAACGGCAGCACGGGAGCAAUCCUGGUGGCGAGUGGCGAACGGGUGAGUAAAGUAUCGGAACGUGCCCAGUCGUGGGGGAUAACGUAGCGAAAGUUACGCUAAUACCGCAUACGAUCUAUGGAUGAAAGCGGGGGAUCGCAAGACCUCGCGCGAUUGGAGCGGCCGAUAUCAGAUUAGGUAGUUGGUGGGGUAAAGGCUCACCAAGCCGACGAGCUGUAGCUGGCCUGAGAGGACGACCAGCCACACUGGGACUGAGACACGGCCCAGACUCCUACGGGAGGCAGCAGUGGGGAAUUUUGGACAAUGGGCGAAAGCCUGAUCCAGCCAUGCCGCGUGCAGGAUGAAGGCCUUCGGGUUGUAAACUGCUUUUGUACGGAACGAAAAGGUUUGGCCUAAUAAGCUGAGCUCAUGACGGUACCGUAAGAAUAAGCACCGGCUAACUACGUGCCAGCCGCCGCAGUAA
rnacentral:rRNA from 1 species